rnacentral:rRNA from 1 species
AUACGUAGGUGACAAGCGUUAUCCGGAUUUACUGGGCGUAAAGGGCGUGUAGGCGGUCUUGCAAGUCAGAAGUGAAAUUCCUGAGCUCAACUCGGGCGCUGCUUCUGAAACUGCAGGACUUGAGUGCUGGAGGGGAUAGCGGAAUUCCUAGUGGAGCGGUAAAAUGCGCAGAUAUUAGGAAGAACACCGGUGGCGAAGGCGGCUAUCUAGACAGUAGCUGACGCUGAGGCGCGAAAGCGUGGGGAGCAAGCAGGAUUAGAUGCCCCGGGAUCCCACGCAGUAAGCGAUGAAUACUAGGUGUAGGGGGACUGACCGCCUCCGUGCCGCAGUUAACACAAUAAGUAUGCCUCCCGGGCGGUACGAUCGCAAGAUUGAAACUCAAAGGAAUUGACGGGC